GUAGGUGGCAAGCGUUGUCCGGAAUUAUUGGGCGUAAAGCGCGCGCAGGCGGUUCUUUAAGUCUGAUGUGAAAGCCCACGGCUCAACCGUGGAGGGUCAUUGGAAACUGGAGAACCUGAGUACAGAAGAGGAAAGCGGAAUUCCACGUGUAGCGGUGAAAUGCGUAGAGAUGUGGAGGAACACCAGUGGCGAAGGCGGCUUUCUGGUCUGUAACUGACGCUGAGGCGCGAAAGCGUGGGGAGCAAACAGGGAUUAGAUACCCUGGUAGUCCACGCCGUAAACGAUGAGUGCUAAGUGUUAGGGGGUUUCCGCCCCCUUAGUGCUGCAGCUAACGCAUUAAGCACUCCGCCUGGGGAGUACGACCGCAAGGUUG
rnacentral:rRNA from 1 species